rnacentral:misc_RNA from 1 species
CGUGUUGUUGGGCUCCCGGCUUAGUGCAGCGAACCCAAUGCAAUCGUUCCUCUUCAAUGAUACCUACGGAUUGCGAUCCGCAUAGGUUAAUACGUGGUUCCUGUGUUGCUUACCUUAAAAAUGGCAUUGGUUGACUAAAUGUAAACCAUCGUCUCUCACUCAACAUGGGUUGAUGCGAGGCGACUUUGUUGUAUGAGUCGUGAUAACGAUCAUGUGCAUGUUAUUUGCUUUGAUCGUGGGUCAUGACUCAUACAUGCAGUUGGGGAUGCAGUACACAAUGCUAUUACUAGGUCUWUUCCUAGUCGUAACAUCUGUUGCUAGAUGCGAUAGACCACUGGGUGCGUUGCAGAUUUCUUUUGAGCACGACUCAAUUGAUUUUUAAAGCGUUGCCUAGUGUCUUGAAAGAAUGCU